UCCAUUGUAUCUUAUAUAUACACUAUAUCACUUCUUUGGAUUUUCAAUUUACUAGGUCAAAAAUUUCCCUUAACAGCAACAAUAAAAAAUAAUAUGUGUAGAUGUUUCUCAUGGUGGGAGGUGGGAAUUAAUUCUUCAAGCAUCAAAAAGGAACCGUAAUGUUGUAGAAAUGUGUCCAAGUUCAACAACUUGGAAAAUUAACUUAUGUGCCUGGAUUGUAUUGACUUAUCUGCUGUUCCUUCUCUAGAACGAGUUAGAAACACUCGAGAUUUUGCAAAUAAGGAACCCAUCUGUCCAUUUGGUCAUCAAGAAGUUGGGGGUCUCUUUCAAGUUUUCUGAGAAAAGUCAUUUCAACGCUCUGAAAAAGUGCCCCCAGUACUUUCACAAGAAAUUCCAAGGUCAUUCAGCCUGGGCCAAAGGGAAAAGAAAGUUAUUUUUUAAUUAAGAAAUCUAUGCAAAAGCGAAAUGCCUUUGGUGUAAGUCCUCUCCGAGUCGCUUAGAGACAUGAGGAAAUCUGCUGGAGCUAAGCUAUCUUUAAUAACACCAAUUCUUCUGCGAGCCCCUCCCAGGUGGGCUUGCAUCUAGGCCCCCCAGCGGGAGGCACCUCUGCGGAAUUGAACAUGGACCUCACGAGGCUGAGUCGUCUGCAGCCAGGAGACGACAUCCCUGCGGCUCCUGGAGCCACGCGUUACCGGCGCGCACUUACACCUGGCACCGGAAUGGGCGGUGUCAUAAAAGAAGAAAAGACCAAUUCAUCAACAGUGCUUUCAGGGUGGGCUCAGUAGCUCACAGCUGUAAUCCCAGCACUUUGAGAGACCAAGGUGGAAGUAUUGCUUGAGGCUAGAAGUUUGAGAUAAGCCUGGCCAACAUAGCAAGACCUCCAUCUCUAUAAAACAAGACAAAAGAAAAAAGACAAAAAAAAAAAAAAAAAAAAAAAAGGAUUGCUUUCAUUUUCCCAGAAGGGGCUGCACUUUGAAAUAAAAAGUAGUUUGAAUUCCAUGCCUGUCUUAGUCCAUUUUGUGUUGCUACAGCAGAAUACCUGGGUAAUUUACCAUGAACAGAAAUUUAUGUUCUCACAGUUCUGGAGGCUGGGAAGUCCAAGAUCAAGGCUCUGGC
rnacentral:lncRNA from 1 species